GGGCCCUUCAGGGAUCCUGCCCGGGCACCGCCGUCCGCACCCUGCACACUAAACACCAGCAGACAUCUGGCCUGGCUGGUUUUCAUGCCGACUGAAGCCAGGAUUAAACCUUGCCCCCACCGCUUUGUAGACCCCUAGACAAUGGCCUUGCUCCCCGCUCCAGACAUUGAGCGUCUGGCCUGCAAGAGAUACAGGCUUGUGUCGGGAGCCCCUUCCCCCUGGUGCAGAUGUGGGACGGGCCUUGCCGGGCCAGUGGCCAGGUCAGGAGGCCACGGUGAUGAACUUGGGUGGCAUCCCUGCCACUCCCAGAGGUGCCUCCAGGGCCUUUCGAUCCUGGUGCCCUGGCUCUGCCUGCCCAGCACAGGGGAGAGGGCCUCCUCGGGAUGCUUCCAGAAGGUCAGGCAGGCCGUCUGCUGAGCCGGGGCUUGUGGCCUGCGGCGGCCCAGCCCUCACCGCCGGGUGCGCUCAGUUACAGGAAGGGAGUUCAUGGCUCCACCAACAGGUGAAUUUGCACCAAAACACGGAAACGGCGCUGACCAACUGCCAGGGCUCGGGACAUGCAGGCAGCGGGAGAGGGAUUUUCAGGCGUGAGGACCCAGGUCCCGAGUGGCCUGUGCCAGGACCUUGGGUGGUAGCUGACCGUGCACAGCAGUGUCUGUGUGCGGGCCUGGCCAGGGACAGGGCCUGUGAGCCCGAGGGAGACUGAGUCCCCUGCCUGCUUCUGCGGGGGAGCGUGAGACUGAACUCGUGGCCUGUCCACGCAGGCCUCGCCAGCGGAGGCGGGACUAAGGAUUCGUGUCCAGCAGACGUUUUUAAAUUCCAAACACACGUCCACCAUGUCCGUGGCUUCCUGGGUGUUAUGUGGAAACGGCACAAUGGACGUGCACCAUGGCUGUCCUGCCCCUGAGCAGGGAAGGACCCAUGGGCCUGGGGCCAUGCCCCUGGGGCACAAGUGCGCUGCACUGCCGGCCCCAGCCCCUCGCGGCCACCUGCGGGGAGCCUGAGCGCCCUGACGCCUCUGGAGAGGACAGGAGGCACAGGGUCGCCUACGGCCCCGACACUGAGCAGUGUGGACUGAGGACUUCACAGACUCAGGCCGUCUUACCCAACUCCUGUUCCCCGUGGAGUUUUUUAAAUUUACGUUUAUACUUUUUUGUUCUAUGUGCUUCUUACCAUCACAGACUGAAACGUACCACGUGGAACCUUGGGACAUCUUUCCGACAGGCGUACCCCGUCCUGAGCUGCCCCCAGAUCGGGCUUUGUUCAGUAAGGCCCAGGAGGAGACUCUCACUUGGGACUUGGCUGAGCCGCCCGGUCCAGGACCGGCUGGUAUUCUUGAGCAGCCGGGAGCCCCUCCGGAGCUCUGCCCUGCAGGCGCCAGGCGGCUUUGGCCCAGUCAGGAGGCCGUGAGCAACAGAAUUCACCGAAAACCCUGGAAGCGGCCCUCUGGGCUGACACUGGGCGCCCUGUCCGGGCAGCCUGCUUCAGAAGUUACCCAGACGGAGAAGAAACACAGGCAUUUCCUUACCCACAGACAGUGGGCGGCCUUGGUGGCAGCGGCCCGGUGAGGUUCCGAGACGAAAAUCAGGCGCUCGAGUGCCAAGGGGACAGCGUCCCGUCUGGAGCCCCUUCGUGUGGCUGCUGAUAAUGAAAUAAAUCUUGGGUGGCUCUGUAAAAA